UCCCAGACUCCUACGGGAGGCAGCAGUGGGGAAUAUUGCACAAUGGGGGAAACCCUGAUGCAGCGACGCCGCGUGAGCGAUGAAGUAUUUCGGUAUGUAAAGCUCUAUCAGCAGGGAAGAAAAUGACGGUACCUGACUAAGAAGCCCCGGCUAACUACGUGCCAGCAGCCGCGGUAAUACGUAGGGGGCAAGCGUUAUCCGGAUUUACUGGGUGUAAAGGGAGCGUAGACGGUAUGGCAAGUCUGAAGUGAAAGCCCCGGGCUCAACCUGGGAACUGCUUUGGAAACUGUUAAACUAGAGUGCUGGAGAGGCAGGCGGAAUUCCUAGUGUAGCGGUGAAAUGCGUAGAUAUUAGGAGGAACACCAGUGGCGAAGGCGGCCUGCUGGACAGUAACUGACGUUGAGGCUCGAAAGCGUGGGGAGCAAACAGGAUUAGAUACCCGAGUA
rnacentral:rRNA from 1 species